rnacentral:rRNA from 1 species
UACGUAGGGGGCAAGCGUUGUCCGGAUUUAUUGGGCGUAAAAGGCUUGUAGGUGGCCACGCCAAGUCGGAUGUGAAAUCUCCCGGCUCAACUGGGAGGGGUCAUUCGAUACUGGUGGGCUCGAGGCCGGUAGGGGGAAGCGGAAUUCCCGGUGUAGUGGUGGAAUGCGUAGAUAUCGGGAGGAACACCAGUGGCGAAGGCGGCUUCCUGGACCGGUUCUGACACUGAGGAGCGAAAGCGUGGGGAGCGAUCCGG